rnacentral:lncRNA from 1 species
AACAUUGAUGUCUUCUAGAAGCGUUUGGAGCCUGGGCAUCCUGAUCUGUCUCCCCAGCUGCUGCCCUCCUCAUCUUCCCUAUUAAUCUGCAAAUCCCUCUCUACGUAGUUAUCCUUUCUGGGGUGGGUCUCAGGGGUAAAACCUCAUCUUCAUCUUCUUCAGUGUCCUCUUCACUCCACUGGACCACAGCUGUGGUGUCCCGGGCCCUCUGCUUCAGAACAGCUUUCAAUAGGCAACAACUUUUUCUUCUCAUCCUCAAGAGUUAAGAGUCAGCUCCAUAGUCAUCCGCCAUAUCGAAGAUCCCUCUGGGUCACCACACCAUCUUCCUCAGUCUUCUUCCUCAUCCCCUCACUUUUCUGAAUUGGUGCUGGGCACUUCUUACCUCGAACCUGAACAGCUAUUUUGGAUAACUCUUCAAGCAAUGUUUUGACCCCAGGAUACUUAUUUGGCUUAUGGACUUCAACAGACCCUGCCCUCCUCUUGGCUGCCCUUUUUAGAGCACAACUUGACAGCCUCUUGAAAUUCUCAUCCCUAGCUGCAGGCAAAAAUCUGACUAGUUCGGUCCCUUCACCCUUCUGGUUUUGGGCCUUUCAGCCUGGCCCAUGUGUCUCCUUCUUUGUAGGAUUCAACUUGGGCCCAGUGAUAACUGAAGGCUCAGCUUGCCUAGACCUGGUUGAGGCAGACCCAGCACCUCCAGUCAAGGCCUGCUCCACGUGGUCUUGAGGAAGAGCAGGAAUUACAUUCUUUAGUAUAACAGCCAGUAUUCUUGAGACAAAUUUAAGUUGAUCUUAUUAUUUUAAGGAAAAUUACAUAGGACAUAUGUUCUCUGUGGCAGUGAUAUUCUGCCAGUCACUUAUGAAAAGAGCCAGACAAUUAACAUCACAGUUUCCAGUGAUUGGUCUCACUUUAAAGCUAAAUGUUGACAUGAACAAUAUACAAGGGAAAUACCGAAGUUGGUAAUCUGGACUGCCUCAAUUAUUUGUUUUUUUUUAAUCAUCCUUAGGAAUAGCAUAAGAAUAGAAGGUUAUGUGUUGAAGCAUGACACUUCUAUGGUCCUUUUAAACAGUUCUGAUGGAAUGUGUCUCAAUGAACACUUUCAAAUCCCAUCUAGCUCAUUAUUUAAUCGUCUACAUAUUGUUGGAAAAGUAUAAGGUUGUCAUGACAACUAGAGAGAUAAUUUAGUCAACAUAACUCAUUCCAUAUAACAUAAUAAUUUUGCCUUUGUUUAAAAAUAUUUCUAUAAAUAUUCAUAUUCUGCAUUUUAAUAGUAUGCUUUAUAUUAGAAUGUGUGGACCCCAGAAUUAAAUAAGACCUCUCAGAUCCUGCCACUAUUGUCAAGUACCAUUAUUCUUCUCUAGCUGAAGUCACCACCUUGGUCAUUGAAGGUAUUAUCCAUGCCCCCAGGCAUAAUAAAGCUCAGGAGGAAUUCUUUCCUGACAUAGAGUUUGCUGAGCAUAAAAAUGAGGUUAAUCCUACAAAAAAGGUUCAGAGGAAAGAAUUCGACAUCUAAGUGGAGCACAUCAUUCAAUUUGCAAGACCUAUAGUGGGCAGACAUUGGGACUGGAAAAAGGGAUGAAAGUCAAGAGUACUUCGUGGGAGUAAGGAGGGUCAUAGCUAGUAUCUAGUUAUGAAACUAUUUAAUGAAAUUAAUGCACUUGAAGUUAUUUCUUUAUAAUUUUUACUUCUUCCCUAGUGAGAAAAUGCAAGAUGUUCAUUCAUAUGAAUAAAUAUGUGACUAUAUCAAUAAAAUCAUAAGCAUUUUUGAAAAUUUUAUAUUGUUAAAUUGCUUGAAUAACAGAAGUAAAAGAACACCUAAAUUAAGACUAAAUAUAAUCUAUAACAUCAUUUUUUUUUCUGUCUUCAUUCAGUGAGCUUUGUGAAACAGAAGUAUAAACAUACAUACAUUGCAGUGUUCCUUAGAAGACAGGUUAGAAUUUGGGUUAUGUGGGAAAAAUAAA